UCGAGAAUCUUUCACAAUGGGGGCAACCCUGAUGGAGCGACGCCGCGUGGAGGAUAAGGUCUUCGGAUUGUAAACUCCUGUCAUGUGUGAACAAGGCAGCCAGGUUAAUAACUUGAGCUGAUUGAUGGUAACACAAGAGGAAGAGACGGCUAACUCUGUGCCAGCAGCCGCGGUAAUACAGAGGUCUCAAGCGUUGUUCGGAAUCACUGGGCGUAAAGGGUGCGUAGGUGGCGUGGUAAGUCAGAUGUGAAAGCCCGGGGCUCAACCUCGGAAUUGCAUCCGAUACUGCUAUGCUUGAGUACUGGAGAGGUGACUAGAAUUCUAGGUGUAGCAGUGAAAUGCGUAGAUAUCUAGAGGAAUACCAAAGGCGUAGGCAGGUCACUGGACAGUUACUGACACUGAGGCACGAAGGCCAGGGGAGCGAACG
rnacentral:rRNA from 1 species